GACGAACGCUGGCGGCGUGCUUAACACAUGCAAGUCGAACGGAAAGGCCCUGCUUUUGUGGGGUGCUCGAGUGGCGAACGGGUGAGUAACACGUGAGUAACCUGCCCUUGACUUUGGGAUAACUUCAGGAAACUGGGGCUAAUACCGGAUAGGAGCUCCUGCUGCAUGGUGGGGGUUGGAAAGUUUCGGCGGUUGGGGAUGGACUCGCGGCUUAUCAGCUUGUUGGUGGGGUAGUGGCUUACCAAGGCUUUGACGGGUGGCCGGCCUGAGAGGGUGACCGGCCACAUUGGGACUGAGAUACGGCCCAGACUCCUACGGGAGGCAGCAGUGGGGAAUAUUGCACAAUGGGCGGAAGCCUGAUGCAGCAACGCCGCGUGCGGGAUGACGGCCUUCGGGUUGUAAACCGCUUUCGCCUGUGACGAAGCGUGAGUGACGGUAAUGGGUAAAGAAGCACGGGCUAACUACGUG
rnacentral:rRNA from 1 species